CAUAUCUGCCUAGUUGUACUUUUGGACAACUACAUAAGAUAGACCUAUUUACAUAUUAAUUACAGUAUAUUAAUAAUAUUUAUAUAUAAAUACACGUCAGCUACCACCUCAGAUAUCUUACUGCAAUCUACAAACUACGGUCAGACACCAUGAGGAGCCUAUUAUUGAUAACUGUAGCUUUGGCGUGCCUAGCCUCUGUAAUGGCUCUCACAGAUAUUCCCGGAUGUAAGGAAGCAUGUCCACAAAACGUCGCUGUUGUGUGUGGGAGAGUUGGAGAUAAAGUAUAUGCCUUCAGAAAUCGUUGCUAUUUGCCUUGUUUCCACGCUACAUUUGUCGCCAAUUGGCCCUGCAAAGUAUCGGAAUGAUGCUUAAGUUCGUUCAGUAACACUAUCUGGUGAAGACUCUGGUUCUGUCACCACCACCUAAUAGCUUCACAGAACGUUACUGAUUAUGCCAUAAGGCUUAAAAUCAAAUAAAAGAUUUAUAUCAAAA